rnacentral:rRNA from 1 species
UACGUAGGGGGCAAGCGUUGUCCGGAAUCAUUGGGCGUAAAGAGCGUGUAGGCGGCCCGGUAAGUCUGUUGUGAAAGUCCAGGGCUCAACCCUGGAAUGCCGAUGGAUACUGCCGGGCUAGAGUUCGGAAGAGGCGAGUGGAAUUCCUGGUGUAGCGGUGAAAUGCGCAGAUAUCAGGAGGAACACCAAUGGCGAAGGCAGCUCGCUGGGACGUGACUGACGCUGAGACGCGAAAGCGUGGGGAGCAAACAGG